rnacentral:rRNA from 1 species
AUGUGGGAAACCACGAUGCGGGAAACCCAAGUGCCAGCGCUAUGCGUUGGCUGUCCUCCAGUGUUCGUAACUGGGGAAGAAAGUGCUGGGUAAGACGGGUGCCAGCCGCCGCGGUAAUACCCGCAGCACAAGUGGUGGUCAUUAUUAUUGGGCCUAAAGCGUCCGUAGCUGGCCUGUUAGAUGCCUGGGUAAAUCGAUGCGCUCAACGCAUCGAACUCCGGGUAGACCGGCAGGCUUGGGACCGGGAGAGGCGUGAGCUACUCGAGGGGUAGGGGUAAAAUCCUGUAAUCCUUCGGGGAGGACCAGUGGCGAAGGCGUCACGCUAGAACGGCUCCGACAGUGAGGGACGAAGCCCUGGGGCGCAAACCGGAUUAGAUACCCCCGUAGUCC